GAUGUGUCAGAAUGGGACCUAUUUCAUUUAUAUGUACUUUUUUUCUGGUGCAUUCAUGUCAAAUGCAAGGCUCCAGUGCUGUGACUCCUGUAUUCAUGCAGAAGGGGAAGGAUUUACUCCUGGAGGUGAUGGAGGAUGAUGUACCUGAGGAAUUUAUUGUUCUUCAAUGGAAUUUCAAUGGAAGUAACGCUUUAGUAACAUUUUCACCUGGUAGAGAACCAAUAGUCUCUAAUGUUUACACUGGAAGGGUUGAGGCUUCUGUGAAAAAUUUCUCUGUGAAACUGAAGAAUCUACAAGAGGCAGACAGUGGAGUUUAUAUUGCAGAAGUGAUUGGGACUGAAAAAGUACAAAUACUGGCUGGACACAACGUCACAGUUCAAGAUGAUGUAUCCAGAGGCCAUAAUACUGUUAUUCCUCUUGCUGUAUCUUUGGUUACCAUCACAAUAGUCACAGCAGCUUG